UUCAUAAUAACUCAACGAAUCGCAUGGCCUUGCGCCGGCGAUGGUUCAUUCAAAUUUCUGCCCUAUCAACUUUCGAUGGUAGGAUAGUGGCCUACCAUGGUCUCAACGGGUAACGGGGAAUUAGGGUUCUAUUCCGGAGAGGGAGCCUGAGAAACGGCUACCACAUCCAAGGAAGGCAGCAGGCGCGCAAAUUACCCAAUCCCAAUUCGGGGAGGUAGUGACAAUAAAUACUGAUACAGGGCUCUUUUGGGUCUUGUAAUUGGAAUGAGUACAAUCUAAAUCCCUUAACGAGGAACAAUUGGAGGGCAAGUCUGGUGCCAGCAGCCGCGGUAAUUCCAGCUCCAAUAGCGUAUAUUAAAGUUGUUGCCGUUAAAAAGCUCGUAGUUGAACCUUGGGCCUGGCUGAUCUGUCCUCCUAAUCGAGCGCACGGAUUCGGUCGGGCCUUUCCUUCUGGGGAGCCCGAUGCCCUUCACUGGGCGUCGUGGGGAACCAGGACUUUUACCUUGAAAAAAUUAGAGUGUUCAAAGCAGGCCUUUGCUCGAAUACAUUAGCAUGGAAUAAUAGAAUAGGACAGAGGUUCUAUUUUGUUGGUUUCUAGGACCGCUGUAAUGAUUAAUAGGGAUAGUCGGGGGCGUCCGUAUUCAAUUGUCAGAGGUGAAAUUCUUGGAUUUAUUGAAGACGAACUACUGCGAAAGCAUUCGCCAAGGAUGUUUUCAUUAAUCAGUGAACGAAAGUUAGGGGAUCGAAGACGAUCAGAUACCGUCGUAGUCUUAACCAUAAACUAUGCCGACUAGGGAUCGGACGGUGGUUUUUUUAUGCCCCGUUCGGCACCUUACGA
rnacentral:rRNA from 1 species